ACGAGCCCGUUAGCCUCGCCGGGAGUUGCAUGCUGGGAGACGCGCUUUCUGCGCGUCGUUUUUUUUUUUUUUUUCAAGCUCUGGUUUCCUGGCGACGCUGUCCGGAGUUAACCUGCACGCCUGCGCUCCCUCCCUGCCUGUUAGUUGUUGGGCCCAGAGCGGCCAGCUAUCCUCCAGAAAAAGCAUCCUGAAGAAGAAGACAGAUUAUCACAGAUCUUCACAUCAAGUCCCAGUGUUUAUCUACAGGACACUGGCUGAAGGACAGAUUCAAAAGCAGAGUUCACCCUCCCUUCAAGA
rnacentral:lncRNA from 1 species